rnacentral:rRNA from 1 species
GAUGAACGCUGGCGGCGUGCCUAAUACAUGCAAGUCGAGCGAACAGACGAGGAGCUUGCUCCUCUGACGUUAGCGGCGGACGGGUGAGUAACACGUGGAUAACCUACCUAUAAGACUGGGAUAACUUCGGGAAACCGGAGCUAAUACCGGAUAAUAUAUUGAACCGCAUGGUUCAAUAGUGAAAGACGGUUUUGCUGUCACUUAUAGAUGGAUCCGCGCCGCAUUAGCUAGUUGGUAAGGUAACGGCUUACCAAGGCAACGAUGCGUAGCCGACCUGAGAGGGUGAUCGGCCACACUGGAACUGAGACACGGUCCAGACUCCUACGGGAGGCAGCAGUAGGGAAUCUUCCGCAAUGGGCGAAAGCUUGACGGAGCAACGCCGCGUGAGUGAUGAAGGUCUUCGGAUCGUAAAACUCUGUUAUUAGGGAAGAACAAAUGUGUAAGUAACUAUGCACUUCUUGACGGUACCUAAUCAGAAAGCCACGGCUAACUACGUG